rnacentral:rRNA from 1 species
AGAGUUUGAUCCUGGCUCAGGAUGAACGCUAGCUACAGGCUUAACACAUGCAAGUCGAGGGGCAGCAUGAACAUAGCUUGCUAUGUUUGAUGGCGACCGGCGCACGGGUGCGUAACACGUAUCCAAUCUGCCCGUCACUCGGGGAUAGCCUUCUGAAAGGAAGAUUAAUACCCGAUGGGAUGCAUUUCCGGCAUCGGAGAUGCAUUAAAGAUUUUAUCGGUGACGGAUGAGGAUGCGUACGAUUAGCUUGUUGGCGGGGUAACGGCCCACCAAGGCGACGAUCGUUAGGGGUUCUGAGAGGAAGGUCCCCCACACUGGAACUGAGACACGGUCCAGACUCCUACGGGAGGCAGCAGUGAGGAAUAUUGGUCAAUGGGCGGGAGCCUGAACCAGCCAAGUAGCGUGAAGGAUGACUGCCCUACGGGUUGUAAACUUCUUUUGUUUGGGAAUAAAAGACGCUACGUGUAGCGUUCUGCAUGUACCUUACGAAUAAGCAUCGGCUAAUUCCGUGCCAGCAGCCGCGGUAAUACGGAAGAUGCGAGCGUUAUCCGGAUUUAUUGGGUUUAAAGGGUGCGCAGGCGGCGCGUUAAGUCAGCGGUGAAAUGUCGGGGCUCAACCCCGGCACUGCCGUUGAAACUGGCGUGCUCGAGUACGGAUGAAGCGGGCGGAAUGUGAUGUGUAGCGGUGAAAUGCUUAGAUAUGUCACAGAACACCGAUUGCGAAGGCAGCUCGCUAAUCCGCAACUGACGCUCAUGCACGAAAGCGUGGGGAUCGAACAGGAUUAGAUACCCUGGUAGUCCACGCAGUAAACGAUGAAGGCUAGCUAUUGGCGAUAUACAGUCAGUGGCCAAGGGAAACCGAUAAGCCUUCCACCUGGGGAGUACGCCGGCAACGGUGAAACUCAAAGGAAUUGACGGGGGCCCGCACAAGCGGAGGAACAUGUGGUUUAAUUCGAUGAUACGCGAGGAACCUUACCCGGGCUUGAAAGUUAGUGCCGGACCUGGAAACAGGUCCUUCCGCAAGGACACGAAACUAGGUGCUGCAUGGUUGUCGUCAGCUCGUGCCGUGAGGUGUCGGCUCAAGUGCCAUAACGAGCGCAACCCUUGUCGCCAGUUGCCAUCAGGUGAUGCUGGGCACUCUGGCGGGACUGCCAUCGCAAGAUGUGAGGAAGGUGGGGAUGACGUCAAAUCAGCACGGCCCUUACGUCCGGGGCUACACACGUGUUACAAUGGGGGGUACAGAAUGCAGCUGGGCGGCGACGUCCGGCCAAUCACCAAAUCCCCUCUCAGUUCGGACUGGAGUCUGCAACCCGACUCCACGAAGCUGGAUUCGCUAGUAAUCGCGCAUCAGCCAUGGCGCGGUGAAUACGUUCCCGGGCCUUGUACUCACCGCCCGUCA